rnacentral:rRNA from 1 species
UAGGGAAUCUUUGGCAAUGGACGAAAGUCUGACCGAGCAACGCCGCGUGAGUGAAGAAGGUUUUCGGAUCGUAAAACUCUGUUGUUAGAGAAGAACAAGGACGUUAGUAACUGAACGUCCCCUGACGGUAUCUAACCAGAAAGCCACGGCUAACUACGUGCCAGCAGCCGCGGUAAUACGUAGGUGGCAAGCGUUGUCCGGAUUUAUUGGGCGUAAAGCGAGCGCAGGCGGUUUCUUAAGUCUGAUGUGAAAGCCCCCGGCUCAACCGGGGAGGGUCAUUGGAAACUGGGGGACUUGAGUGCAGAAGAGGAGAGUGGAAUUCCAUGUGUAGCGGUGAAAUGCGUAGAUAUAUGGAGGAACACCAGUGGCGAAGGCGGCUCUCUGGUCUGUAACUGACGCUGAGGCUCGAGAGCGUGGGGGGCAAACAGG